AGCCCUGACUUGGACAGGGUGGGCCUUUACCACGAAGUGAGCAACAAGACCAGAGCCAUCACGCGCCUGGGCCCCUACAGCCUGGACAGGACCAGCCUCUACUUCAACGAUUACAACGAACCACAUGAUCUGUCAUUGGAAAAGCCAUUCAACACACAAAGCCUGGGACAAAUAAUACAGCAAUUCACAGUGAACUUCACCAUAACCAACCUCAGGUUCACUACAGACCUAGGGAGAUCACAUUCUGCUAAAUUCAAUUCUACCAAGAAAAUAAUGCAACAUUAUGUAAGCUAACAUCACAGUGUUCUUAAUCACCCAAUGUUUUGCAUUACCCAUGCUCACAGAGACCUUUCCUUGUCAGAUUGACCCUCUGCUUCGGAAAAGUAGCAUUGGCCCUGACUUCAUUGGCUGCCAAGUAAUACUAUUCAGGUAAGCAAUGUAGCUGGAAGACAAAUGGAUUUACUUAUAUUUGAUCGAUACUUCAAACAUUAUUUUUCUUUUUCAAGAAGUCAGCAUCUUUACAAUAAAGCUUUUGUGCAUUUUUGUAUGUGCUUAAUCUUACAAAGCCUUUGUGCUAUAGCACCAACAUCUCAGUAUAACUUCUGCAGUUUAUCUCUGACAUCUGUGGACAGAUUUUAAUUGCUUUUCUUUUCUUGUUUUUCUUCUCUUAUUAAUAACAUCAGAAGAAAACCCACAGACUUUUAGAACAACUAACAACUAAACUUGAUUCUACUUGAUUUCUCAGGUCAGUGACGAAUAGAGAUAGCACAGCAGUAGACAGCGUCUGCAGCUACAGAAAUGGCUCCCAAGUGCCCAAUUUUGACAAAACUACAGUUUAUCAAGAACUAAGGAGCAUGACAAACAACGUCACCAAAUUAGGAAUCUAUAAACUGGAUAAGGAGAGCCUCUAUGUCAACGGUAAGUGCAUAAUUUUCAGUCCUCUAGGCACCAGGGCAGUCUGGAACCGCACUGGGCUUUAGGAAACUCUUCUGUUAAAAAAAAAUAAUAAUAAAA